rnacentral:rRNA from 1 species
UACAGAGGGGGCAAGCGUUGUUCGGAAUUACUGGGCGUAAAGGGCGCGUAGGCGGCCUUCUAAGUCGAACGUGAAAUCCCCGGGCUCAACCCGGGAACUGCGUCCGAUACUGGAAGGCUUGAAUCCGGGAGAGGGAUGCGGAAUUCCAGGUGUAGCGGUGAAAUGCGUUGAUAUCGACCGGAACUCCGGUGGCGAAGGCGAGGUGCUGGGUCCUUUCUGACGCUGAUGCGCGAAAGCCAGGGGAGCAAACGGG